rnacentral:rRNA from 1 species
CACGUAGUUAGCCGUGGCUUUCUGGUUGGAUACCGUCACUACCUGAUCAGUUACUAUCAGAUACAUUCUUCUCCAACAACAGAGUUUUACGAUCCGAAAACCUUCUUCACUCACGCGGCGUUGCUCCAUCAGACUUUCGUCCAUUGUGGAAGAUUCCCUACUGCUGCCUCCCGUAGGAGUCUGGGCCGUGUCUCAGUCCCAGUGUGGCCGAUUACCCUCUCAGGUCGGCUAUGCAUCACGGUCUUGGUGAGCCUUUACCUCACCAACUAACUAAUGCACCGCGGGUCCAUCCUAAAGUGAUAGCCGAAACCAUCUUUCAACCCUACACCAUGCGGUGUUAGGUUUUAUGCGGUAUUAGCAUCUGUUUCCAAAUGUUAUCCCCCACUUUAGGGCAGGUUACCCACGUGUUACUCACCCGUCCGCCACUCACUCAAAUGUUUAUCAAUCAGGAGCAAGCUCCUUCAAUCUAAACGAGAGUGCGUUCGACUUGCAUGUAUUAGGCACGCCCG